rnacentral:rRNA from 1 species
UACAGGGGGUGCAAACGUUGCUCGGAAUUACUGGGCGUAAAGCGUGCGCAGGCGGUUCGUUGUGUCCGUCGUGAAAGCCCCGGGCUUAACCUGGGAACUGCGAUGGAAACUAGCGAGCUGGAGUGUGGCAGAGGGGGGUGGAAUUCCGCGUGUAGCAGUGAAAUGCGUAGAGAUGCGGAGGAACACCGAUGGCGAAGGCAGCCCCCUGGGCUAACACUGACGCUCAGGCACGAAAGCGUGGGGAGCAAACAGG